rnacentral:misc_RNA from 1 species
AACUCCCAACCCCUGUGAACAUACCUUUAAUGUUGCCUCGGCGGAUCAGCCCGCGCCCCGUAAAACGGGACGGCCCGCCAGAGGACCCAAACUCUAAUGUUUCUUAUUGUAACUUCUGAGUAAAACAAACA